GUACCCGUAGCUCAGUUGGAUAGAGCAUUGGACUCCGACUCCAAAGGUCAGAGGUUCGAAUCCUCCCGGGUACGCCA
rnacentral:tRNA from 1 species